rnacentral:lncRNA from 10 species
UGUUUUUUUGAGACAGAGUCUCACUCUGUUGCCCAGCCUGGAGUGCAGUGGCAUUAUCUAGACUCACUGCAACCUCCACCUCCUGUGUUCAAGUGAUUCUUGUGCCUCAGCCUCCUGAGUAGCUGGGAUUACCAGUGCACGCCACCACGCCAGGCUACUUUUUGUAUUUUUAGUAGAGACAGGGUUUCGCCAUGUUGGCCAGCCUGGUCUCGAACUCCUGACCUCAGGUGAUCUGCCUGCCAUGGCCUCCCAAAGUGCUGGGAUUACAG